GAAAAACCAAGUAACAUAGAUACUAGGUACUUAGCAUUCUUGAUUUUAUGAAAUUUUAAAUCAUAUCUGAGUAUUGUGGAUCCUCAGGUCAGUUGACUGACAGAAAAUCAUUCAUGACAUAAAACAUUGAAAAUGUUCUAUAGAAAUAAUUACAUCAUCAUUAGAGAUCUGCAUAUAGUGGAGUGAUAAUUCGGUAGCCUACUUUCCUGCCUGCCUUUUGUAUCCCAAAUUUUAGUGAGCAACUACUACAGGUAGAACAUCAUAUGACAUGCUGGAAUCACAAAGAUAAAUCUGCAUAAUAGAGAAGAGAUGCCUAGAUAUCUAACUAAUGAGAUACAACUUCAAAAGAGAUCUGUAAAGUUCUAUGAGAAUUUUUCUUUAUACAAUCAUAGUUGACUGACAAAUUUAUAAAGCAUAGUCAUUGGCAAGGGCUUUUAAAAAAUUAAUGCUGUAAGAUCACACAAAUGAGAAUGGUUAAUUCUGCCUAAUGGAGGUGAAAGGGAGGAGACUGCAGAAGACUUGUCUUUGAGAACAGAAUAAGUUUCUUACAGAAAGGAGGUCAAAAAAGCAUUUGUUAAAGGGAAAAGAACUAUUUGCAUUUGGGGCUGGGAGAAGUAAUUGCAGUUCCCUGAACACAAAGAAAAAAAUAUUUUUAUAAUUUGGGAAGGAUGAAUUGAUACAUGUUGCCAACAGCAACAUCUCUCUCACCCCUAUCACUUCCCUCCCUAUCAGCUCAUCCCUGAAUCCUGGGUCUUCC
rnacentral:lncRNA from 1 species